rnacentral:rRNA from 1 species
UACGUAGGGUGCAAGCGUUGUCCGGAAUUAUUGGGCGUAAAGAGCUCGUAGGCGGUCUGUCGCGUCUGCUGUGAAAACUCAGGGCUUAACCCUGAGCUUGCAGUGGGUACGGGCAGACUAGAGUGCGGUAGGGGAGACUGGAAUUCCGUGGUGUAGCGGUGAAAUGCGCAGAUAUCAGGAGGAACACCGGUGGGCGAAGGCGGGUCUCUGGGCCAUUACUGACGCUGGAGGAG